AUUUGCUGAGAUUUGUUUUGUGGCCUAACAUCUGAUCUACCCUGAAGACACUUCCAUGUGCUGAUGGGGAGAAUGCAUACUCUUCAACUGUUGAGUGGGAUGUUCUGUGAAUAUCUGGUAAAAAAACUGAGGCUUAGAAACAUUGAAAAAAACUUGCUCAACGUUGCAAAACAAGAAAUUUGUGACACUGGAAUUGACAUCUACAAGGGACUGAUGUAACUAAUUGCUGGAUACAUGUCCCUCAAAGACACAGAAACAGAUCUUGUAUUCUAGUGGAUCUCCGGCACCCAGUGAGGGCCUGAAACAGAGUACAUGUCCAACAAAUAAUUAUUGAAGUAAAGAUUGACAUUUCAGGAGCAGAGAUUAAUAUUCAAAAACAAAGAUGAGAAUUUUGGCAGAAAAGUCAAAAUGAGAGUUGACACAGAACUCAAACAACUGAACCCCUUAAAUCAAGAUUGUUGAACAUUAACUAAAAGAAUCUCUUCACAGUAUAAAUUUUCCCAUAAAA
rnacentral:lncRNA from 10 species